GUAGACCCUUGCUUUCGUUGCUAAUAAUACACUCAUGCUCCACAACUAAUCUUCUACUUGAUCGCAAGCACGGUAGAGAUGAUUGAUAAACCACCAAACAAAAGGAAAAUUGGACAUUUGCUAGCAUUACAGUGUGAAGGAUGCUCUGCUGCUCCAAUGUGUCUUUUCUGUCAAAGCUUUCUUGUCAAAUAAGAACUCAAUUCACUGGAUGCAGGGAAGGAGAUGGAGGGUGACACAUAGCCAUGGAGAGGAGCAGCAGCUCAAGAUAUUUUGAGUAAAUUCAAGACAAAAGAUGUUCAAAGAAGCUCCAAGACAUUCUUAUAUAGCAAGUUAUGUAAUAAUAGCUGGGUUAUCUGGGAAUUUAAUGUAUCUUCUCUCUGUUUGUGAAUGAAAUAGUAAUUAUGUAUGUGAAUUAAUGUA